CCUACGGGAGGCAGCAGUGGGGAAUAUUGCACAAUGGGGGAAACCCUGAUGCAGCAACGCCGCGUGAAGGAAGACGGUUUUCGGAUUGUAAACUUCUAUCAAUAGGGAAGAAAGACAUGACGGUUCCUAACUCAGACGCCCCGGCUAACUACGUGCCAGCAGCCGCGGUAAUACGUAGGGGGCAAGCGUUAUCCGGAAUUACUGGGUGUAAAGGGAGAGUAGGCGGCAAGGUAAGCGAUAUGUGAAAGCCUUAAGCUUAACUUAAGGAUGGCAUAACGAACUAUCUAGCUAGAGUACAGGAGAGGAAAGCGGAAUUCCUAGUGUAGCGGUGAAAUGCGUAGAUAUUAGGAAGAACACCAGUGGCGAAGGCGGCUUGCUGGACUGAAACUGACGCUGAGGCUCGAAAGCGUGGGGAGCGAACAGGAUUAGAUACCCGGGUAGUC
rnacentral:rRNA from 1 species